GAAUGCGGCGCAGUGUAUUGUGGGGCGGAAGAGGAGAGUCACCGCUCUGCUGGGGCCGCCAUCUUGCCUGCGUCCGGACUUGCUCCCGCGUUCGGGGCCUGCUCUUUCUCCUCACAGCGCAAAGCGGUGGCAAGUGGGAGAACGACAGGCCCGCCUGGGCGGUGCUAAUGCGUGCGGAGCUUCCUCGCACUUCUCUCCGGCGCCGCUAGCGAAGGGGGCGGGGGUGGUCUGAGCGGUCAUCGGCGCGGCCUCUCCUUUGCCGGGAUGGGUCGGUCUCGCAGCCGGAGCUCGUCCCGCUCCAAGCACACUAAAAGCUCCAAGCACAACAAGAAGAACCGGAGCCGAUCGCGAUCCCGCUCCCGGGAGAAGGAGCGGGCGCGGAAGCGAUCUAAGUCCCGGGAGAGCAAGCGGAACCGGCGCCGAGAGUCCCGCUCCCGGUCCCGCUCCAACACGGCCCCCUCCUCCCGCCGAGACCGGGAGCGGGAGCGCGACCGCGCCUCCUCCCCGCCCGACCGCAUCGACAUCUUCGGGCGCACGGUGAGCAAGCGCAGCAGCCUGGACGAGAAGCAGAAGCGGGAGGAGGAAGAGAAAAAAGCGGAGUUCGAGCGGCAGCGGAAAAUUCGACAACAAGAAAUUGAAGAGAAACUCAUAGAAGAAGAAACUGCUCGAAGAGUAGAAGAGCUUGUGGCUAAACGCGUAGAAGAAGAGUUGGAGAAAAGGAAGGAUGAGAUUGAGCGAGAGGUUCUCCGCAGGGUGGAGGAGGCUAAGCGCAUCAUGGAAAAACAGUUGCUCGAAGAACUCGAGCGACAGCGACAAGCUGAACUUGCAGCACAAAAAGCCAGAGAGAGGAAGCUGGCGUGUAUGGCAGCCGAGGAGCACACUCUGCAGGACACUGGACAAGACAGUAAAUAUUCAACUUUUAAUGCUGAUUAAAGGAGUAUAGGUAAAGAAUACGUAGGUAUACUUAAUUGGUGAGACAAACUAUUCACUUUAUUUAUAUUUUCUAUAUUACUUUUUAAUUUGGUAAAUACUAUCCAGUUUUUGUAGUUGUCCUUGUUGAUUUGUGUGAUAUUAAAAUUCUAGUAAUAAAUUGUCAGGAUUCUGUGAUUAGGGAGGGUUUAGUUGGUUGCUGUUUGGACUGGGCGGGGUUAUAUAAAUUGAGUGCUAGAGACCAGUAUUAGUGGCUGCACAGUUUACCCUUGUGAGACAAAGUAGGUGGCUAUAAAGCUGCCACUUUAAGUCAGUUCACAAAAGAAUUCUGAGAAAGAUUAGUGAAUGUGCAGAAGUGAGUAUUUUACUUUACUAACAUCUUGCCCUGUCCUCCCGUUUAGGAAGAAGAGCGUGCAAAGCGUGAGGAACUAGAGCGAAUACUAGAAGAGAAUAAUCGAAAAAUUGCAGAAGCACAAGCUAAACUGGCUGAAGAACAAUUGAAAAUUGUUGAAGAACAAAGAAAGAUUCAUGAGGAGAGGAUGAAACUAGAA